rnacentral:rRNA from 1 species
AGAGUUUGAUCAUGGCUCAGAUUGAACGCUGGCGGCAGGCCUAACACAUGCAAGUCGAACGGUAACAGGAAGCAGCUUGCUGCUUCGCUGACGAGUGGCGGACGGGUGAGUAAUGUCUGGGAAACUGCCUGAUGGAGGGGGAUAACUACUGGAAACGGUAGCUAAUACCGCAUAAUGUUGCAAGACCAAAGAGGGGGACCUUCGGGCCUCUUGCCAUCGGAUGUGCCCAGAUGGGAUUAGCUUGUUGGUGGGGUAACGGCUCACCAAGGCGACGAUCCCUAGCUGGUCUGAGAGGAUGACCAGCCACACUGGAACUGAGACACGGUCCAGACUCCUACGGGAGGCAGCAGUGGGGAAUAUUGCACAAUGGGCGCAAGCCUGAUGCAGCCAUGCCGCGUGUAUGAAGAAGGCCUUCGGGUUGUAAAGUACUUUCAGCGGGGAGGAAGGGAGUAAAGUUAAUACCUUUGCUCAUUGACGUUACCCGCAGAAGAAGCACCGGCUAACUCCGUGCCAGCAGCCGCGGUAAUACGGAGGGUGCAAGCGUUAAUCGGAAUUACUGGGCGUAAAGCGCACGCAGGCGGUUUGUUAAGUCAGAUGUGAAAUCCCCGGGCUCAACCUGGGAACUGCAUCUGAUACUGGCAAGCUUGAGUCUCGUAGAGGGGGGUAGAAUUCCAGGUGUAGCGGUGAAAUGCGUAGAGAUCUGGAGGAAUACCGGUGGCGAAGGCGGCCCCCUGGACGAAGACUGACGCUCAGGUGCGAAAGCGUGGGGAGCAAACAGGAUUAGAUACCCUGGUAGUCCACGCCGUAAACGAUGUCGACUUGGAGGUUGUGCCCUUGAGGCGUGGCUUCCGGAGCUAACGCGUUAAGUCGACCGCCUGGGGAGUACGGCCGCAAGGUUAAAACUCAAAUGAAUUGACGGGGGCCCGCACAAGCGGUGGAGCAUGUGGUUUAAUUCGAUGCAACGCGAAGAACCUUACCUGGUCUUGACAUCCACGGAAGUUUUCAGAGAUGAGAAUGUGCCUUCGGGAACCGUGAGACAGGUGCUGCAUGGCUGUCGUCAGCUCGUGUUGUGAAAUGUUGGGUUAAGUCCCGCAACGAGCGCAACCCUUAUCCUUUGUUGCCAGCGGUCCGGCCGGGAACUCAAAGGAGACUGCCAGUGAUAAACUGGAGGAAGGUGGGGAUGACGUCAAGUCAUCAUGGCCCUUACGACCAGGGCUACACACGUGCUACAAUGGCGCAUACAAAGAGAAGCGACCUCGCGAGAGCAAGCGGACCUCAUAAAGUGCGUCGUAGUCCGGAUUGGAGUCUGCAACUCGACUCCAUGAAGUCGGAAUCGCUAGUAAUCGUGGAUCAGAAUGCCACGGUGAAUACGUUCCCGGGCCUUGUACACACCGCCCGUCACACCAUGGGAGUGGGUUGCAAAAGAAGUAGGUAGCUUAACCUUCGGGAGGGCGCUUACCACUUUGUGAUUCAUGACUGGGGUGAAGUCGUAACAAGGUAACCGUAGGGGAACCUGCGGUUGGAUCACCU